rnacentral:rRNA from 1 species
UACGAAGGGUGCAAGCGUUACUCGGAAUUACUGGGCGUAAAGCGUGCGUAGGUGGUUUGUUAAGUCUGUUGUGAAAGCCCCGGGCUCAACCUGGGAAUGGCAAUGGAUACUGGCAGGCUAGAGUGUGUCAGAGGAUGGUGGAAUUCCCGGUGUAGCGGUGAAAUGCGCAGAGAUCGGGAGGAACAUCAGUGGCGAAGGCGGCCAUCUGGGACAACACUGACGCUGAAGCACGAAAGCGUGGGGAGCAAACAGG